ACACAGACUAGGCAGGGGGCUACCACGAUCACGAAGGUGGUUUUCCCAGGGUGAGGCUCAUCCAUUGCACUCCAGAUGUGCUGACGCCUGCAAUUUCCCCAAAUGUGGGAAACUCAACUGCAUAAUUUGUGGUGGUGAGGGACUGCAUUUGCGCUUUUCCCUG
ensembl:snRNA U1 U1 spliceosomal RNA